AGACAGAGAGACAUAAAGGAGAGAGGGAGGGAGGUAGACUCAUAAAGGGUUGAGAGGAGCAGAGGACGCGUUCUGGAUUGUAUGAAACAUUGACACAAAGAAGAAGCUGUUCUUUUUUACAUCCAUUCUCUCUCUCACUCAUUAUCUUGCUCUCUGUCUCUCUCUCACUCUCUCUCUCUCUCUCUCUCUCUCUCACUCUCUCUGAGGAGGACGAUGUCUCUGCUGUCUGUCUGCAGGAUUUAUACUCAGCUGAUCUCAGCUGUGCUGCUGAUGUCAUCGUGGUGCGUUCAGGGACUGCAUGUGGACGUGCUACCCAGAAGGCUUCUGUUGAGACUGGGGCAGCGUCAUCAGCUGGUGUGCCGGGUUCAGGACUGUCCCAUGAUACCGACCUUCUCCUGGUCUCUGCUGGGGGACCGACCUCUGACUGCAUCCGUCAGCAGCAACAGGACUCACUCUGUGGUGACCUUUGACCCUGUGACAAUAGAGUACGACGGCACUCUGCUGUGUAAAGUCAGCUGUGGAGGAGAAAACAAGCAGAUUAGGAGCUCACUACAGGUUUACUCCUUUCCAUCAGCCCCUGUGGUCAGAGGUCAGGAUGAGCUGAGGGUGGGGGCGGCGAGCACCCUGACCUGCCAGGUGUCUGAUGUUUACCCCCCUGAGCGUCUGACCCUCACCUGGCUCAGAGGAGACGCUAUCCUGAAGAGCAUUAUAGGAGAUUCUGGAUCCAGCUCAGUCCAGUCUGAGUACAGGUUCACUCCUCUGAACCAGGACUCAGGAGGAAACAUCAGUUGCAGGGCCACGAUGGACCUGCUAAACCUGCCUGCUGAGGACAGGACCAGACAGACCACCGUCCCCCUAAACCUGCUGAAUGCUCCUGUUGUCAGGUCGAUAUCAGACCCUGGGUUGUUGAUGGUCGGCUCUCCACUCACUCUCACCUGUUCUGUGGAGGGAAACCCAGAACCGAACAUCACCUGGAGCCUCAGGACGGCAGCCGGUCGGUCUGUCCUGCGGGGUCGAGGACAUCAGCUGGUCUUCACAGUGGUGAGUCUGUCUGACGCUGGACGCUACGAGUGCGAGGCCCGAAACAGCGAGGGAAACAAAACCACCGAAGUGGAAAUCAUUGUUCAUGGUCCGCCCACUAACACCUCCCUCUCAGUGAGUCCAGGUGAGGAAGUGGUGGAGGGUCAGCAGGUGACGGUUACCUGCCGCUCAGACGGAGCUCCACCCCCCAUGCUGGUGCUGAGGAGAGAGGGGGUGGAGCUUCAGAGGACUGACCCCGCCUCCUCCACGCUCUCCUUCAGCCUCUCCUCCGCCCUGCUGGAAGACUCCGCCCACUACCAGUGUGAAGCCUCCAACCAGUACGGAUCCCAGCUGGUCACCAGCUUCGUCACUGUCACUGCUCACCCUCUGCAGGUGGAGGUGAGUCCUCUAGUCUCAGCAGCAGAGCGGGGUUCAGAUCUGGUUCUGACCUGCAGAGCGUCCGGAUGUGUCCACCCUCCCACCCUCACCUGGAGGAGGACGGACCAGAACCGGACCUUCCUCCAGAGGACGCAGCAGCAGGGCGGACUGUCCCUGCUCCACCUGCAGGACCUGGACCUCCAGAAUCAGGGAGGAUACAGCUGUGAGGCCGAGUGUGACUCCGUCAUCAGGACCGGAAACACCCAGAUCCACAUCCUCUCAUUUCCAUCUGAUCCGGUUCUGGAGGAUCCUGGUCCUGUCCUUCUGGGUCAGGCAGCAGUCCUUCGCUGUGAUGUCAGCAGCGUCUUCCCGGCCAAUCAGAUGAGGGUCCAGUGGCUGUCGGGGAACAUGACGCUGAUGUCAGAGUCCCUCAGAUUCCCUGGUUCCUUACAGAACGUCUCGUCCGUUCUUCAGCACCAGGUUGAGGAGGAUCAGCAGGUUCUGAGCUGUAGAGCCGAGCUGCUGACGGAGGAUGGAGACGUGUGGAGGUCCAGGAAGACCAGCGUCCGCCUGCAGGUCCACUAUCCUCCGAGGAGAACCUCCCUCUCAGUGAGUCCAGGUGAGGAAGUGGUGGAGGGUCAGCAGGUGACGGUUACCUGCCGCUCAGACGGAGCUCCACCCCCCAUGCUGGUGCUGAGGAGAGAGGGGGUGGAGCUUCAGAGGACUGACCCCGCCUCCUCCACGCUCUCCUUCAGCCUCUCUUCCGCCCUGCUGGAAGACUCCGCCCACUACCAGUGUGAAGCCUCCAACCAGUACGGAUCCCAGCUGGUCACCAGCUUCGUCACUGUCACUGCUCCUCCAAGGAACACCACUGUCCUCGUCUUGCCGUCCCCGGUGGUCCAGGAGGGACAAAACGUCACUGUCUGCUGCCAAACCAUCAGCUUCCCACCGUCAGCUGUGGUACUGAAGAAACUGACCAAUGGGACGGAGCUAUAUUCCCCAAACGGCACCUUCCUAUUGGUCAACGUCACAGCUAGAGACUCCGGGCUGUACCAGGUCAACGUGACCAACAGCCUUGGAUACCAGGUCAAAGUCUUCAGCAUCAGCGUCAGAGAAAGAAGCACCAGCCAUCCUCCCAGUCUCAGCGGCAUCAUCAUCCUAGCCAUCUGUGUCACCACUGGGCUAGCAGCCUCUGCUCUGGUCCUCGACUACCUGAGGAGAUCCAGAAAGAAAGGCUUCUAUCAGCUGCCCCAGUCUGCUCCGCCCUCAGCCUGAGGCUGACACGUGGCUACCACCUCCCAACACGUGGCUACCACCUCCCAACACUGGGCUACCACCUCCCAACACGUGGCUACCACCUCCCAACACGUGGCUACCACCUCCCAACACGUGGCUACCACCUCCCAACACUGGGCUACCACCUCCCAACACGUGGCUACCACCUCCCAACACUGGGCUACCAACUCCCAUCAGUGGCUACCACCUCCCAACACUGGGCUACCAACUCCCAUCAGUGGCUACCACCUCCCAACACUGGGCUAACACCUCCCAACACUGGGCUAACACCUCCCAACACUGGGCUAACACCUCCCAACACUGGGCUACCACCUCCCAAUAUGUGACUUUGUACCUACCAUGUGCUGACUCGUGGUUUUGACCUCCCAAUGUGUGGCUACUAAUUAGCAACGUGUGAUUUCAGUAUUCCAACAUGUGACUACUACAUGCUACCCCCUCAACUAAUUUCCACAAUCCAGUGCUGGGCUACCACGUCCCAGUUUGUGACUACUACAGCUACCACUUCUCAACACGUGGCUACCUACUUGCAUGUUACAUGUAGCUGCCACUACCAACAUCUGGCUACCAGUCCUCCAUAUGUUUUUACCGGUGUUCAACAUGUGGCUACAACCUUCCUACAAGUGGCUACCAACUUGCAAUGACCCAUAUGUGGCUACCACCUCCUAGUCUGUGGUUAACAGUCCUCAACAUGUGGCUCUAACAGUCCAUCCUGAGAAAUACAGGUGGUCCCUACCUGUUGCUACAUAGUGUAACAUAUGAACAGCAGCUAACAUCAUUUAAUCAGCCUUGCAACUCUUUAUUUGUUUUUGGAAUCAGUGACUUUUUAGCAGCUGUGAACUUUUAAGUGCUCACUGUCCCUUUAAGUGCUCACUGUCCCUUUACAUGUUUACUGUCCCUUUAGGGGCUCACUGUCCCUUUACGUACUCGUUGCUGAACCAGAGCAUUGGAUCCAGCUUCCCACUGCAACCCUCCAGGGACGGAGGAGGAACUUUAAGUGUCUCUGUUGGUUUGGUACUGUUGCACCUUCAGUGUUUCUGCGUACAGAACCACAUUGUUUAUACGUGUUUAUAAUGAAUUAUCUGCUGUAUUUCUGUCCAGUGUGAGUUGAAUGUGUUCAUUCUCUCACUGUGUGCUUUUAUUAAAGAUAUUUAUUUCUUCA